rnacentral:tRNA from 1 species
GCCCUGUUAGCGCAGUGGUAGCGCAUGUAACUUCUAAUCAUAAGGUCGCGGGUUCGACCCCCGCAUGGGGUU